rnacentral:rRNA from 1 species
UACGAAGGGUGCUAGCGUUGCUCGGAAUUACUGGGCGUAAAGCGCACGUAGGCGGAUUGUUGAGUCGGGGGUGAAAUCCUGGAGCUCAACUCCAGAACUGCCUUCGAUACUGGCGAUCUCGAGUUCGGGAGAGGUGAGUGGAACUGCGAGUGUAGAGGUGAAAUUCGUAGAUAUUCGCAAGAACACCAGUGGCGAAGGCGGCUCACUGGCCCGAUACUGACGCUGAGGUGCGAAAGCGUGGGGAGCAAACAGG